rnacentral:rRNA from 1 species
GUGAGGAAUAUUGGUCAAUGGGCGGGAGCCUGAACCAGCCAAGUCGCGUGAAGGAAGAAGGAUCUAUGGUUCGUAAACUUCUUUUGCAGGGGAAUAAAGUGCAGGACGUGUCCUGUUUUGUAUGUACCCUGAGAAUAAGGAUCGGCUAACUCCGUGCCAGCAGCCGCGGUAAUACGGAGGAUCCGAGCGUUAUCCGGAUUUAUUGGGUUUAAAGGGUGCGUAGGUGGUUUGAUAAGUCAGCGGUGAAAGUUUGCAGCUUAACUGUAAAAAUGCCGUUGAAACUGUCGGACUUGAGUGUAAAUGAGGUAGGCGGAAUGCGUGGUGUAGCGGUGAAAUGCAUAGAUAUCACGCAGAACUCCGAUUGCGAAGGCAGCUUACUAAGCUACAACUGACACUGAAGCACGAAAGCGUGGGGAUCAAACAGAAUUAGAAACCCCUGUAGUCC